CCAAUAGCGUAUAUUAAAGUUGUUGCAGUUAAAAAGCUCGUAGUUGAAUUUCGGGAUCAAUACGUCGGUCGUGCCUCUGGUAUGUACUGGUGUUAUUGAUUCCUCCUUUCUGAUGAACCAUGAUGUCAUUAAUUUGGUGUUGUGGGGAGUCAGGACUGUUACUUUGAAAAAAUUAGAGUGUUUAAAGCAGGCCUAUGCUUGAAUACAUUAGCAUGGAAUGAUAAAAUAGGACGUUCGAACCUAUUUUGUUGGUUUCUAGGAUCAACGUAAUGAUUAAUAGGGAUAGUUGGGGGCAUUAGUAUUCAAUUGUCAGAGGUGAAAUUCUUGGAUUUAUUGAAGACUAACUACUGCAAAAGCAUUUGCCAAGGAUGUUUUCAUUAAUCAAGAACGAAAGUUAGGGGAUCGAAGACGAUCAGAUACCGUCGUAGUCUUAACCAUAAACUAUGCCGACUAGGGAUCGGAUGAUGUUAAUUUUUUAAUGACUCAUUCGGCGCCUUACG
rnacentral:rRNA from 1 species